GGAGAACAUUUGACCUAGGUGUUGAAAGAGAGAAGAAAUUGGACAGCCAGGGGUGGGAAUGAAGAGAAGACUCCAGAGUGGAGACCCAUCCUAAGGGAAGGCAGGAUGAGGAGAGCAUGAAGAGACAGGGAAAAUGGUGAGUUAUUCCAUUUGGGUGAACUGCGAUGAAGCCCUUUCCUAGAGUUUCCUUGGGACAGAAAAAGUAAGGUUCCUUUUUUGAAGUAGACACUCAAAGCAGGAAGCACCGGCUAUGUAGAUAUUCGGCUCAACUUUUGAAAGAGAAAGGUUAUACCCAAGUAAAUGUUCCAGAAUGAACUAUCCUUAAAAUCACCUGCUUACCUCUCAGGAUAUGUUAAAGAGCUAUUAGAUGACCAGAAUGACCUGAAAUAUCUUGAAAAGAGUUAUCAGCUGCAUGCGAUGGCUCACACCUGUAAUCCCAGCACUUCAGGAGGCCAAGGUGGGUACAUCUCUUGAACCAGGAGUUUGAUACUAGCCUGGCCAAGAUGGUGAAAC
rnacentral:lncRNA from 1 species